GUGGGGAAUCUUGCGCAAUGGGCGAAAGCCUGACGCAGCCAUGCCGCGUGAAUGAUGAAGGUCUUAGGAUUGUAAAAUUCUUUCACCGGGGACGAUAAUGACGGUACCCGGAGAAGAAGCUCCGGCUAACUUCGUGCCAGCAGCCGCGGUAAUACGAAGGGGGCUAGCGUUGCUCGGAAUUACUGGGCGUAAAGGGCGCGUAGGCGGACAGCUUAGUCAGAGGUGAAAGCCCAGGGCUCAACCUUGGAAUUGCCUUUGAUACUGGCUGUCUUGAGUUUGGGAGAGGUGAGUGGAACUCCGGGUGUAGAGGUGAAAUUCGUAGAUAUUCGGAAGAACACCAGUGGCGAAGGCGACUCACUGGCCCAAUACUGACGCUGAGGCGCGAAAGCGUGGGGAGCAAACAGGAUUAGAAACCCCUGUAGUCC
rnacentral:rRNA from 1 species